rnacentral:lncRNA from 1 species
UUUUUUUUUUUUUUUUUUUUUUUUACUUUUAAAACUUUUAUUAAAUGGUGGAAGAAACAAUACUACUUAUUAUACUAGUCUAAAGCUUUUCAAAAAAUUCCAGAAAACAUUUUACAGGAGAGAAAUCUCUGUAGUAGGCAGCCUGACCAGCAGCCAGUGUCUCUCAAAUAGCUUAUAGUAGAGAAUUCUUACUGUUUUCUAAACUGAUCUGCUCUAAAAAGGAAGAGGCUAGUUUAACCCAGUGAGCAAAUGUGGAGCCAAAAGACAGGAAGAAAAUAGGGACAGCAGAGUAACUGAGACAUUUCCUUCUGAAGCUCAGUCAGCUGCCCCCUCUUUUGGAGUGAGGGGUUAAAAGAGCAUAAAUACUCUGCUACAGAUGGUGGCCCCUGGUCAUCACACAGCAGGUGACACACCCCACGAGGGCAGAAGUUUUAUCCAUUUUCUUCAGUGUGGUCUUCAUCAGGCCUAGAAGAGUACCUGACACUUACUAGCUGCUCAAUACAUAUGUGAACGUUGAAUGAACAAAUGUCAAAAUAGGGUUAGUCCUUCAAUCCACAUUUCACUGUGACCCAGUUAUCUUCUACGCAGAAAUGGGGAAUGACUCUCCCCUUGCUCAUUGCAACAUUUUGUUUUCUGUGUCCCAAGGCAGAGGCAUCUGGGCCCCUCUUCUUCCAAAAUCCUUGAUGAUCACAGCCCUUUUCAAAUUCUGCAUCAGCUCCUUUUUGUAAGAACAGUUUUGAUCUUUGAGUCAUUGCUGGGAAACAGACAUACUUGAACCCCAAGUAUGACCUAGGCUCAAACUUAAUCUCCUGACUUAAUUACCAGUUAGUGUGAUAAGAGCUAUACCAGAUGCACAUACAGGGACAUGGGAAAGGAACAAAGAAACUGCAGACAGCAGGAAAUCAGAGGGAGGAGGACAGAUGGUAUAGAAAGAUGAUGGAUGAAACUCUGCCUGCUUUGUAUUUUUGCUUUGUACUUGCUCCCACCCCCCAAUUUUUACUUCAUAAUCUGAUUGGAACUUCCUUUUCCUCAUUUUAUAAUUUCCUCUUUCCAAGUACAUGAUAGGUGCUAAUUUUGUUGCUGACUGGCUAACAAAGAGAAUGAAGACCUUAGUGGAGUCCCACUGCUUUUCACUUACUAUUUGCUUUUCCAUAUUGAUUGCUCUUUAGUUGAACUAGGAUAUGAAAUACCAGAUAAUGAGAACACAAUAAAUCCUCAUUUGUUCAAAUCAAUCACUACUAACUGACUGCACACAAUAUCCCAAGCAUUGUGCUAGAUGGAAAGCCACACAGAUUAAUA